UACGGAGGAUGCAAGCGUUAUCCGGAAUGAUUGGGCGUAAAGGGUCCGCAGGUGGCAGUGUAAGUCUGCUGUCAAAGAAUGAGGCUUAACCUCAUCAAGGCAGUGGAAACUACACAGCUAGAGUACGGUCGGGGUAGAAGGAAUUCCUGGUGUAGCGGUGAAAUGCGUAGAGAUCAGGAAGAACACCGGUGGCGAAGGCGCUCUGCUAGGCCGCAACUGACACUGAGGGACGAAAGCUAGGGGAGCGAAUGGG
rnacentral:rRNA from 1 species